rnacentral:rRNA from 1 species
AUUGAACGCUGGCGGCAGGCCUAACACAUGCAAGUCGAACGGUAACAGGAAACAGCUUGCUGUUUCGCUGACGAGUGGCGGACGGGUGAGUAAUGUCUGGGAAACUGCCUGAUGGAGGGGGAUAACUACUGGAAACGGUAGCUAAUACCGCAUAACGUCGCAAGACCAAAAAGGGGGCCUUCGGGCCUCUUGCCAUCGGAUGUGGCCAGAUGGGAUUAGCUAGUAGGUGGGGUAACGGCUCACCUAGGCGACGAUCCCUAGCUGGUCUGAGAGGAUGACCAGCCACACUGGAACUGAGACACGGUCCAGACUCCUACGGGAGGCAGCAGUGGGGAAUAUUGCACAAUGGGCGCAAGCCUGAUGCAGCCAUGCCGCGUGUAUGAAGAAGGCCUUCGGGUUGUAAAGUACUUUCAGCGGGGAGGAAGGGAGUAAAGUUAAUACCUUUACUCAUUGACGUUACCCGCAGAAGAAGCACCGGCUAACUCCGUG